rnacentral:rRNA from 1 species
UGCCCUGCACUCUGGGACAAGCCCUGGAAACGGGGUCUAAUACCGGAUAACACUGCGGACUGCAUGGUCUGCGGUUGAAAGCUCCGGCGGUGCAGGAUGAGCCCGCGGCCUAUCAGCUUGUUGGUGGGGUGAUGGCCUACCAAGGCGACGACGGGUAGCCGGCCUGAGAGGGCGACCGGCCACACUGGGACUGAGACACGGCCCAGACUCCUACGGGAGGCAGCAGUGGGGAAUAUUGCACAAUGGGCGAAAGCCUGAUGCAGCGACGCCGCGUGAGGGAUGACGGCCUUCGGGUUGUAAACCUCUUUCAGCAGGGAAGAAGCGAAAGUGACGGUACCUGCAGAAGAAGCGCCGGCUAACUACGUGCCAGCAGCCGCGGUAAUACGUAGGGCGCAAGCGUUGUCCGGAAUUAUUGGGCGUAAAGAGCUCGUAGGCGGCUUGUCGCGUCGGAUGUGAAAGCCCGGGGCUUAACCCCGGGUCUGCAUUCGAUACGGGCAGGCUAGAGUUCGGUAGGGGAGAUCGGAAUUCCUGGUGUA